rnacentral:rRNA from 1 species
ACUAAGCGUACACGGUGGAUGCCCUGGCAGUCAGAGGCGAUGAAGGACGUGCUAAUCUGCGAUAAGCGUCGGUAAGGUGAUAUGAACCGUUAUAACCGGCGAUUUCCGAAUGGGGAAACCCAGUGUGAUUCGUCACACUAUCAUUAACUGAAUCCAUAGGUUAAUGAGGCGAACCGGGGGAACUGAAACAUCUAAGUACCCCGAGGAAAAGAAAUCAACCGAGAUUCCCCCAGUAGCGGCGAGCGAACGGGGAGGAGCCCAGAGCCUGAAUCAGUGUGUGUGUUAGUGGAAGCGUCUGGAAAGGCGCGCGAUACAGGGUGACAGCCCCGUACACAAAAAUGCACAUAUUGUGAGCUCGAUGAGUAGGGCGGGACACGUGGUAUCCUGUCUGAAUAUGGGGGGACCAUCCUCCAAGGCUAAAUACUCCUGACUGACCGAUAGUGAACCAGUACCGUGAGGGAAAGGCGAAAAGAACCCCGGCGAGGGGAGUGAAAAAGAACCUGAAACCGUGUACGUACAAGCAGUGGGAGCACGCUUAGGCGUGUGACUGCGUACCUUUUGUAUAAUGGGUCAGCGACUUAUAUUCUGUAGCAAGGUUAACCGAAUAGGGGAGCCGAAGGGAAACCGAGUCUUAACUGGGCGUUAAGUUGCAGGGUAUAGACCCGAAACCCGGUGAUCUAGCCAUGGGCAGGUUGAAGGUUGGGUAACACUAACUGGAGGACCGAACCGACUAAUGUUGAAAAAUUAGCGGAUGACUUGUGGCUGGGGGUGAAAGGCCAAUCAAACCGGGAGAUAGCUGGUUCUCCCCGAAAGCUAUUUAGGUAGCGCCUCGUGAAUUCAUCUCCGGGGGUAGAGCACUGUUUCGGCAAGGGGGUCAUCCCGACUUACCAACCCGAUGCAAACUGCGAAUACCGGAGAAUGUUAUCACGGGAGACACACGGCGGGUGCUAACGUCCGUCGUGAAGAGGGAAACAACCCAGACCGCCAGCUAAGGUCCCAAAGUCAUGGUUAAGUGGGAAACGAUGUGGGAAGGCCCAGACAGCCAGGAUGUUGGCUUAGAAGCAGCCAUCAUUUAAAGAAAGCGUAAUAGCUCACUGGUCGAGUCGGCCUGCGCGGAAGAUGUAACGGGGCUAAACCAUGCACCGAAGCUGCGGCAGCGACGCUUAUGCGUUGUUGGGUAGGGGAGCGUUCUGUAAGCCUGCGAAGGUGUGCUGUGAGGCAUGCUGGAGGUAUCAGAAGUGCGAAUGCUGACAUAAGUAACGAUAAAGCGGGUGAAAAGCCCGCUCGCCGGAAGACCAAGGGUUCCUGUCCAACGUUAAUCGGGGCAGGGUGAGUCGACCCCUAAGGCGAGGCCGAAAGGCGUAGUCGAUGGGAAACAGGUUAAUAUUCCUGUACUUGGUGUUACUGCGAAGGGGGACGGAGAAGGCUAUGUUGGCCGGGCGACGGUUGUCCCGGUUUAAGCGUGUAGGCUGGUUUUCCAGGCAAAUCCGGAAAAUCAAGGCUGAGGCGUGAUGACGAGGCACUACGGUGCUGAAGCAACAAAUGCCCUGCUUCCAGGAAAAGCCUCUAAGCAUCAGGUAACAUCAAAUCGUACCCCAAACCGACACAGGUGGUCAGGUAGAGAAUACCAAGGCGCUUGAGAGAACUCGGGUGAAGGAACUAGGCAAAAUGGUGCCGUAACUUCGGGAGAAGGCACGCUGAUAUGUAGGUGAAGUCCCUUGCGGAUGGAGCUGAAAUCAGUCGAAGAUACCAGCUGGCUGCAACUGUUUAUUAAAAACACAGCACUGUGCAAACACGAAAGUGGACGUAUACGGUGUGACGCCUGCCCGGUGCCGGAAGGUUAAUUGAUGGGGUCAGCGCAAGCGAAGCUCUUGAUCGAAGCCCCGGUAAACGGCGGCCGUAACUAUAACGGUCCUAAGGUAGCGAAAUUCCUUGUCGGGUAAGUUCCGACCUGCACGAAUGGCGUAAUGAUGGCCAGGCUGUCUCCACCCGAGACUCAGUGAAAUUGAACUCGCUGUGAAGAUGCAGUGUACCCGCGGCAAGACGGAAAGACCCCGUGAACCUUUACUAUAGCUUGACACUGAACAUUGAGCCUUGAUGUGUAGGAUAGGUGGGAGGCUUAGAAGUGUGGACGCCAGUCUGCAUGGAGCCGACCUUGAAAUACCACCCUUUAAUGUUUGAUGUUCUAACGUUGACCCGUAAUCCGGGUUGCGGACAGUGUCUGGUGGGUAGUUUGACUGGGGCGGUCUCCUCCUAAAGAGUAACGGAGGAGCACGAAGGUUGGCUAAUCCUGGUCGGACAUCAGGAGGUUAGUGCAAUGGCAUAAGCCAGCUUGACUGCGAGCGUGACGGCGCGAGCAGGUGCGAAAGCAGGUCAUAGUGAUCCGGUGGUUCUGAAUGGAAGGGCCAUCGCUCAACGGAUAAAAGGUACUCCGGGGAUAACAGGCUGAUACCGCCCAAGAGUUCAUAUCGACGGCGGUGUUUGGCACCUCGAUGUCGGCUCAUCACAUCCUGGGGCUGAAGUAGGUCCCAAGGGUAUGGCUGUUCGCCAUUUAAAGUGGUACGCGAGCUGGGUUUAGAACGUCGUGAGACAGUUCGGUCCCUAUCUGCCGUGGGCGCUGGAGAACUGAGGGGGGCUGCUCCUAGUACGAGAGGACCGGAGUGGACGCAUCACUGGUGUUCGGGUUGUCAUGCCAAUGGCACUGCCCGGUAGCUAAAUGCGGAAGAGAUAAGUGCUGAAAGCAUCUAAGCACGAAACUUGCCCCGAGAUGAGUUCUCCCUGACUCCUUGAGAGUCCUGAAGGAACGUUGAAGACGACGACGUUGAUAGGCCGGGUGUGUAAGCGCAGCGAUGCGUUGAGCUAACCGGUACUAAUGAACCGUGAGGCUUAACC